GCAUAAUUCAAAUUAAAAAACUAAUUAAUUAACUAUUACAGAGGAUAAAUAAUUAGAAAAUACAACAGCAAGAAAUGUAUUACUUAAACGUGAAAUUAUUAUUUUUAUUCAGUUAUUAAUUCAAUGGAAGUAAAAUAAAUACUGUCAUACUUCAAAUUAUUUUUCGAAAUGAAUUCAUUUAUUAAGAUAAUUAUAAUAUGAAAACUACUAUUAAUCAAACUAAAAUCAUGAUAAUUUUGCCGAUAAAAUAUAUAGUGUGGCCAAAAACGGUGCUUUUAUAUUUUUGCUGUACCGUUUUUGGACACGGGCUUUUUUACAAAUAUUUGAGGUUAUUAUUUUAAAAGCAUUGUUUUUAUAUAAAUAUUUAUCCCCUAGAAAUAUUGUAUAAAAAGAAAAAUAUGAAAAUAUUGAUAUUAAUGUCGAAAAACAAUCAUUUACUUCCCAGUGAUAUUUCAACUCAUCUACUAAAAAUUGUACUUAUUCGCCACUGUCAAAAUAUUUGUACAGUUAUGUGUGUUUUUUUAAAUUAAAUCAGCUGAAUUUCUGUCAAAAACAAGUGAACACAGUGUUGCCUACUUAUUUUAGAAUUUUAUGAAAGUAUUUAUAAUUCACUAGUUGAGUCUGGCUUAGACCGUUCUCGUGUUAACAUAUCUGUACUUAAGUGUAACUAUAAGUGAGGACAUCACCUCACUAAGAGUCUUAUAAUUGAUAGUGAAUCUAAACUGUAAAGUUAAUACAAAGAGUGUAUAAAAAGUUGUCUGUUUCUGUUGAAAUUAUUUGAUUAAUUGACGCCACAUUCUGACACGCUUUCUUUUGGUCGUUGGACACACCGAGCUGGAUCUGUUCACUCGUAUAUCACCAUCAACGCAAUCUAACAUCAUCUAGUUGCCUCCAUAUCUGGUCAGGUCUUGCCCGACAGCACAAAAUUGAUGCGACAAUUUGGAAGGAAGACAAUUGAUCAAAAUUAUAAAAUCGGCAACAAAUUUACAGGCAACUGAAUUUGAUACAAUCUAACUGAGUUCAGCUAACUACAAUUCAAAAACGGAUUUUAACAAUAACCUAUAAGGUCAGACAAAGAAAUAAACAAGAAGUUCUGUCAGUCGGCUAAGCCAGAAGACAUCAAAGAAGAAGAAGAAGAAGAAAUAAUUCACUAGUAACUAUAAAAACUUCAAUAAUGCCAAAAUAAAUCUGAAAGUGGCCACAACCGGUGCAGUGGCCACAAACGGUACAUCUACCCUAUCUCAAUAAAAAUCAAGAAUUUAAAUUAUUCAGUUAAAUCAAAACAAAUAAAAAGAAUUCAGAUAAAAAUGUAAACUGAUGCGGUCAACGAAUUGUUAUAGUGAAACAGGUCUUCUCAAGAUUUCCAAAUGGUUUUAGACUUUUCUCUCAAAUUAUUCACAAAAUAAAGAAAAAUAUAAUUAAUGAGGGCUUUCCUUCAAUG